UCUUUAACACUGAGCCAUCUACCUCCCCAACCACUAGAUGCUCCCAUUUUGAGAUACUAUUUCUAUAAGUGUAAACGGUGGAAUAUUUUUAGAGCAUCCAGGGUUGAGAGUUGGAGUUCCUCUGCUCUGAGACAUUUGACACGCCUUCUGCACCUUUCUGACACUGUUCCCAUAGAACUGACCGUGGUCUUGCCCCCACCCCAGCAACAUGUGUCUGUGUUCUUGUUUCCAGAUGAAAGCCUGUCACAAACUGAAACUCUGAAUGGGAACAAAAUCCUCUUAAAAUCAAAGUUGUGGAUCUGGAGUUUGGAAGACAGGAAGGAGGAGAGAAGAGAAGCCGAUGAAACAGAAGAAGGCUUGAGGAAUGUCCUGAAGUGUGAGAUGCAGGCCAUGCCCAAAAGAUGGCAGGUGGUGGCUCCUGAGCUCCAGGACUCUGCUUGUAAGUGUAAACGGGGAAGAAAAGGAAUCCAAGAUCUGUUCAGAUUCUGGCUGGCCUCACAGGACCGACACCAAAUGCUGCCAGACUCUCUGAGGUAGGUACACUGGGGAUUUCAAUGUAUUUUCCCUUGCAGCCAUUUCUAGCCUCGUUAUAAGAAGAAUACGGCAAUGCUAGGGGAAAUCACUACAUGUAUUAAAAUAGUACUAGACUUAUUUCUUUAAAAUAAGUAAAGAAAACUGUAUUUCAUUCUGUUAAAAGACUGAAGGAGAAUUUAAGGAGAAUGGAUUUAUUCUUAUAAAGGGCUGUAAGAAGUAGGUAUUUAUUCAAUUAAACAGAUAAAAACCUUAGUCCUCAGAGGGGCUUGGAAGACACAGAAUUUGGAUCAGAGGGAGGAUAAUUGGAAACUGAAGCUCCUCCAGCUUGAGAGAAACAAUAGCUGCAGGUGUGUUGGGAAAAGCGCCUGCUGGUUCCACACAGAGACGGCAAUGGAGGCAGUGACAGUGUGGCCUUGUUAGGUGGAGUGGACACUUCUACAAGGUCACAAGGAAAGUCAUGAGUCUUCAGACGGGACACAGAAGGAUGCU